UACGUAGGGUGCAAGCGUUGUCCGGAAUUAUUGGGCGUAAAGAGCUCGUAGGCGGUUCGUCGCGUCGGCUGUGAAAACCCGGAGCUCAACUCCGGGCCUGCAGUCGAUACGGGCGGACUUGAGUUCGGCAGGGGAGACUGGAAUUCCUGGUGUAGCGGUGAAAUGCGCAGAUAUCAGGAGGAACACCGGUGGCGAAGGCGGGUCUCUGGGCCGAUACUGACACUGAGGAGCGAAAGCGUGGGGAGCGAACAGG
rnacentral:rRNA from 1 species